GACGGAGGGUGCAAACGUUGUUCGGAAUCACUGGGCAUAAAGAGCACGUAGGCUGCGCGCUAAGUCAGGUGUGAAAUCCCCCGGCUCAACCGGGGAACUGCACCUGAUACUGGCGUGCUCGAGGACGGUAGGGGUGAGUGGAAUUCCAGGUGUAGCGGUGAAAUGCGUAGAUAUCUGGAGGAACACCGGUGGCGAAGGCGGCAUCCUGGACCGACACUGACGCUGAGGAGCGAAAGCCAGGGGAGCAAACGGG
rnacentral:rRNA from 1 species